rnacentral:rRNA from 1 species
GACGAACGCUGGCGGCGUGCUUAACACAUGCCAGUCGAACGGAAAGGCCCUGCUUUUGUGGGGUGCUCAAGUGGCGAACGGGUGAGUAACACGUGAGUAACCUGCCCUUGACUUUGGGAUAACUUCAGGAAACUGGGGCUAAUACCGGAUAGGAGCUCCUGCUGCAUGGUGGGGGUUGGAAAGUUUCGGCGGUUGGGGAUGGACUCGCGGCUUAUCAGCUUGUUGGUGGGGUAGUGGCUUACCAAGGCUUUGACGGGUAGCCGGCCUGAGAGGGUGACCGGCCACAUUGGGACUGAGAUACGGCCCAGACUCCUACGGGAGGCAGCAGUGGGGAAUAUUGCACAAUGGGCGGAAGCCUGAUGCAGCAACGCCGCGUGCGGGAUGACGGCCUUCGGGUUGUAAACCGCUUUCGCCUGUGACGAAGCGUGAGUGACGGUAAUGGGUAAAGAAGCACCGGCUAACUACGUG